AGGCAUCGUGCGUGAGGAGCAAGGUUACCUGCAGCUUCCCUUCCGUCGGAGCCACCUUCUCACCUGCUAGAAGCAUUAGCCCGUAAGAGCCACCGCCACACAGGCGCCCCCUGCCACCCCUUCAUCUUCUAGCAGGGAGAAGACAAAGGUCGGCAUCAAUGGUUUUGGGCGGAUUGGGAGGUUAGUUCUGCGUAUUGCAAUUGAUAGAGAUGAUAUUGAAGUUGUGGCUGUCAAUGAUCCGUUUAUCGAUGCUAAAU